rnacentral:rRNA from 1 species
UUCCCAGACUCCUACGGGAGGCAGCAGUGAGGAAUAUUGGUCAAUGGGCGCGAGCCUGAACCAGCCAAGUCGCGUGAGGGAUGACGGUCCUACGGAUUGUAAACCUCUUUUGCCGGGGAGCAAGCGUGCGUUCGUGAACGCGCGUCGAGAGUACCCGGAGAAAAAGCAUCGGCUAACUCCGUGCCAGCAGCCGCGGUAAUACGGAGGAUCCGAGCGUUAUCCGGAUUUAUUGGGUUUAAAGGGAGCGUAGGUGGAUUGUUAAGUCAGUUGUGAAAGUUUGCGGCUCAACCGUAAAAUUGCAGUUGAAACUGGCAGUCUUGAGUACAGUAGAGGUGGGCGGAAUUCGUGGUGUAGCGGUGAAAUGCUUAGAUAUCACGAAGAACUCCGAUUGCGAAGGCAGCUCACUGGACUGCAACUGAUACUGAGGCUCGAAAGUGUGGGUAUCAAACAGGAUUAGAUACCCGGGUA